rnacentral:rRNA from 1 species
UUCCUUGUCUGGUAACUUCAGACCCGCACGAAUGGCGUAACGACUGGGAAACUGUCUCGACGAAGAGCUCGGUGAAAAUGCAAUGAGGGUAAAGAUGCCCUCUACCCGCGGAAAGACGGAAAGACCCCGGGAGCUUUACUAUAGCUUUCUAUUGUUUUGGCGUUUUAGAUGCGUAGCGUAGUGGGGAGACUUUGAAGUUCCGCUUUUGGGCGGAAUGGAGUCAUCAAUGAAACACCCAUCUUUUGAAAUGCCAUAACUAACCUCGAUUUAAUAAAUCGAGAGACAGUGGAUGGUAGGUAGUUUAAGUGGGGCGCUUGCCUCCUAAACAGUAACGGAGGCGUUUAUUAAGGUCAGCUAGCUACGGAUGGAAAUCGUGGCGGUCGUGCAAAGGCAUAAGCUGGCUUAACUGCAAGGCAUAUUUGCCGCGCAGAUGCGAAAGCAGAACUUAGUGAACCGACCUUCUUUUAUAGAAGAGCGGAAGAUCAUCAGAUAAAAGCUACCCCGGGGAUAACAGGCUGGUCGCCUCCAAGAGUCCACAUCGACGAGGCGGUUCGGCACCUUUAUUAAACAUAUUGGGGUGCUACAACAGUAAUGUUGUACCUGUUUUUCAAGAAAAGCAUACUUGAAGAAAAAUAAAAAUUCGGCUUAUAACGGUGAACUCCGUAUAUAGACACUAUCGAAAGGUAGAAUGCAUAUACGGACAAUAUCGUGGGAAGUUCGACCUAAAGUGUCGAACCCCUUAGAGACUGACCCGAAAGGGAAGGUUCUUCGAAAAAAUUCGAAGGACAACACGCCGACUCCUAUUACAAAAAGCGAGACUAUGGCCAAGAACACCUAAUGUCCGCAAUAGGAUGAAGAUAUAGUCCGAACCUCUUGGUAACAAGAGAAAAAUCGACAGCGAUGUCGGCUCAUCGUAUCCUGGGGCUGGAGCAGGUCCCAAGGGUUUGGCUGUUCGCCAAUUAAAACGGUACGCGAGCUGGGUUCAAACCGUUAAUUAAAAUUGAACCAUUAAAGACACAAUUACGGCGGCAUAGAAGAGUAAUCUUCUAUGAAAAAUCGACUCAUAUCGGUGAAAUCCUAGUGUAUGGUUAUAAUAACCUGUCAUAUGUUAGGAUAAUACCGAGGGAAGAUAAUAAACCAAGAAUUAUGUUGCAAACAAAAAUUCUAAAACAUUCAUAUCUUGCAGGUUUUCUGGAUGGUGACGGAAGCAUUCAUGUUCGCUUAAAACCGAACAAAACUUACCGUUUUGGUUUUCAGAUAAGUCCCAAUAUUGUUUUUUAUCAGUCCAAGAAAGAAAAACAAUAUUUGGAAAACCUACAGAAAGAAUACGGUUUUGGCUAUAAUAGGGAACGCAAAGAUGGAAUAGUGGAAUGGGUUAUAGGAGACGUGGAAUCUAUAUCAAAGAUUUUGCAAAUCUUAUUGCCUCAUCUGGUGCUUAAAAAGAAACAGGCACGCCUGAUGAUACAGAUUCUUAGAGCAAAAACAUGCGUAAAAGACGCAGAAGAUUUUUUGAAAUUAGCAGAACUAAUAGAUAAAUUUGAGGAACUUAAUUAUUCUCGCAAAAGGAAAAUAAAUUUUGCGACAGUAAAACGGUUUCUCGUUAAAGAAGGUUUAUUAUCCCCGUAGAGACUGAGCCUUAAGUGGCGAGGCCCUCUGAUAUAUAUCGGAGUGGCAAGACGUCGAUCUCCUGAUUUAUGAAGUCAGGAUGGUGGUAUAGUCCAUGCCAUUGGCAACAAUGGAUUAACAUUGCGUGAGACAGGUUGGUCCCUAUCUUCCGUGGGCGUUGAAUCUUGAGGUGGGUCGCUCCUAGUACGAGAGGACCGGAGUGAACGAACCUCUGGUGUACCAGUUGUCGUGCCAACGGCAUAGCUGGGUAGCUAAGUUCGGAAGGGAUAAGUGCUGAAAGCAUAUAAGCACGAAGCCUGCACCAAGAUUAGGAUUCUUAGAUUCCCGCUAGACUAGCGGGUUGAUAGGCUACAGGUAUAAGCUCCGUAAGGAGUUAAGCCGAGUAGUACUAAUAAAUCAUUUUUA